GACGAACGCUGGCGGCGUGCCUAACACAUGCAAGUCGAACGGGACUCAGCCCUUCGGGACUGAGUUUAGUGGCGAACGGGUGAGUAACGCGUGAGGAACCUGCCUCAAAGAGGGGGACAACAGUUGGAAACGACUGCUAAUACCGCAUAAGCCCACGGCUCGGCAUCGAGCAGAGGGAAAAGGAGUAAUCCGCUUUGAGAUGGCCUCGCGUCCGAUUAGCUAGUUGGUGAGGUAAUGGCCCACCAAGGCGACGAUCGGUAGCCGGACUGAGAGGUUGAACGGCCACAUUGGGACUGAGACACGGCCCAGACUCCUACGGGAGGCAGCAGUGGGGAAUAUUGCACAAUGGGGGAAACCCUGAUGCAGCGACGCCGCGUGGAGGAAGAAGGUCUUCGGAUUGUAAACUCCUGUUGUUGAGGAAGAUAAUGACGGUACUCAACAAGGAAGUGACGGCUAACUACGUG
rnacentral:rRNA from 1 species